rnacentral:rRNA from 1 species
GCUUAACGCGAAGAACCUUACCAGGCCUUGACAUGCAGAGAACUUUUCCAGAGAUGGAUUGGUGCCUUCGGGAACGUCUGACACAGGUGCUGCAUGGCUGUCGUCAGCUCGUGUCGUGAGAUGUUGGGUUAAGUCCCGUAACGAGCGCAACCCUUGUCCUUAGUUACCAGCACGUUAUGGUGGGCACUCUAAGGAGACUGCCGGUGACAAACCGGAGGAAGGUGGGGAUGGACGUCAAGGUCAUCAUGGCCCUUACGGCCUGGGCUACACACGUGCUACAAUGGUCGGUACAGAGGGUUGCCAAGCCGCGAGGUGGAGCUAAUCUCACAAAACCGAUCGUAGUCCGGAUCGCAGUCUGCAACUCGACUGCGUGAAGUCGGAAUCGCUAGUAAUCGCGAAGUCA